ensembl:lncRNA
CGAACCGAGCCGAGCGGAGCCAAGCUGGGCUGGGGGGGUUAACCGGGGCUGGAGCCGAGUCGAACCGAACCGGGCCGAGCUGGGCCGGGGGGUUAACCGGGGCUGGAGCCGAACCGGACCGGGCCGAGCCGAACCGAGGGGUUAACUGGGUGUGGAACUGAGCCGGGCCGGGCCGAGCCGAACCGGGGGGGUUUAAACCGGGGACGGAGCUCGAAUUGGGAUGAACCGAACCGGACUGAGCCGAACCGAGCCGGGACAGGGGGGUCAGCCAGGGCCGGAGCCCGAAUUGGGCCGAACCGGGCCGGCAGGGUUAACCAGUUGGGCCAUACCGAGCUGAGCCGAACCGGGCCGAGUGGGGGAGAUUAAUUCCGGAACCGGGCCGAACCAGGCUGGAAGGAGUUAAAUUGGAGCGGGGGCGGCGCUGGGGGCGGAAUCGAACCGAACCGGGAGGGGUUACAGUAAAGCGAUGGAACCGGGCCGAACCGAACCGGACCGGGAGGGGUUACAGUAAAGCGGUGGAACCGGGCCGAACCGAACCGAGCCGGGGGGGAGGAGGGGGGGAAUAAGUG